rnacentral:piRNA from 1 species
CAAAAUGAGUUACAAAUUCAAC